UUCAGUUGUUAGCCAUUUUAGGAGCAUGUUUGUUGCUAGAUAGAGGUAGCAAAGUUUCCCCGAUGGCCAGAGUUGAUAGACCGCCGACACCAUACGUUGCCAUGGACCGGAUCAUGAAAACAAAGUUUUAAAGUCGCAAGAUGGAAAUAUAUAUACUUCAGGCCUUCACGGAUUCUUCUCGUUUUUUGCUUGUAUUUGAAAAGGAUACAUCCACUAGAGAACUUUCAUACUUGAUCAACUAUGAUAAUGUUUAGCGAAAAGGGAACCAAAGUUAUGGAAUAACAAAUUAGUCAUUAUUGUUGAUUUUAAACGUUACUCGUAAAAUGUGGUAUUUCAUAAUCCACUAGUAUUGUACUGAGUAUAUUAUUUUUUUUUCUACUUUUAACCCAUGUGCACAUAUUAUAUUAUGAGUAGUCUGGUUACCUGCCCCUGUUACUACGCAAUUGAUAAUCACAGAAUAGUACUAGGCAUGGAACCAUACUUAUGCGUUUUACAAACA